rnacentral:rRNA from 1 species
AUUGAACGCUGGCGGCAUGCUUUACACAUGCAAGUCGAACGGGGUGGAGGGGCAACCUUCCAUUCAGUGGCGAACGGGUGAGUAAUGCAUCGGAACGUGUCCCGUAGUGGGGGAUAACGCCGGGAAACCGGCGCUAAUACCGCAUAUGCUCUACGGAGGAAAGUGGGGGACCUGAAAGGGCCUCACGCCAUGGGAGCGGCCGAUGUCCGAUUAGCUAGUUGGCGGGGUAAAGGCCCACCAAGGCGACGAUCGGUAGCUGGUCUGAGAGGAUGACCAGCCACACUGGGACUGAGACACGGCCCAGACUCCGACGGGAGGCAGCAGUGGGGAAUUUUGGACAAUGGGGGCGACCCUGAUCCAGCCAUGCCGCGUGCGGGAAGAAGGCCUUCGGGUUGUAAACCGCUUUUAGCCGGAAAGAAAAGGCGGAGGCUAAUACCCUCCGUUCUUGACGGUACCGGCGGAAUAAGCACCGGCUAACUACGUGCCAGCCGCCGCAGUAAAAC